AAGGAAGAAAAUAAUAAAGAGUAUUAAUAAAGGCAGUUUAAGUCAGGAAACCCACUGACUUUGAGCUGGAGGAUGGAGAAGACUUGUUCACCAGCACUGUCUCCCUGCUAGAGUCAAGCCCAUCAUCUCCAAAACCAGCUAGUCUUCCUGCAGAAGAUAUUAGGGUAAACUCCAACAGCCCAAAACCUGAAGAAGUUAUACUAGAUGAUGACAGAGAAGAUCUUUUUUUUUUUUUUUUUAAAAA
rnacentral:lncRNA from 1 species